UUAAGGCUGUCAGGGUACAUCACUUCCUGCUGUGUUGACCGUUCUGUUUCUUCCGGUCGGUGUUUGUGAUCCUGAAGCGCCAUAGUGAGAACGGGAGCUGCUGUGCGAGCGCAUGAGCUGUUAAGUGCAAGGCACGGAUGUCGUAUUUCAGUGUUAUGAUCCUGAAGCGCUAAAGCAAGGAAGUUAGCUUCCAAUUUGAAAGAGCUUUUGGGCUGUGGCUAAGUGUAAACAACGAGCUGCAUUACGUAGCAUUUUGACUGACUGAGUACGACGCGAUUUAGGUGCAGAGCUUUCAUUCCCUUUGCGGAUUAUCGUAGAGGUAUGUGUAGGUUAAAGGGGUAGGUCGAGUAUAGUAAUUCAUGACACCAUUGUGUGGUUUAAUGAAUUUGUUAUGGAAAUGUAUGUGUAUGAUAUUGUGGGUUUGAUAUUAUGAUUGUUUUUAUUUUAUGGUAAUUUAUAUUUAAUGUUAAUGUAAUUGAUUAAAUGUGGUUUGUUUUCUGUUUUGUUUAACAGAUUUUCCAUUGUGGAACUUUGUACACAUGGACCUCUGAUUCUUAGGCCCUGCUGUUUUGCUCAGGAUUAAAUUGUGUUAUUUAGGUUGAUUAUAUAUUGAUUGUUUUGGAAAUUACUCAUUCUAUUAAUUUAUUAUUUUGAUUUUGUUUCGUAUUUAUUGUACCAACCGCCAAGACCUCAAGCACUGUGACUCGGGGAGAAUUUAAUCCAUUUUUCUGUGUUUUAGGAGCCAGCCUGCGGAGUUCUUUCUCUUUGGGAUCAUCUGGGUUUUCCCCACUGCCUGUGGUAUGAGGUGUUCUGCACUGCAUGGAUAUUGAGUUUAGUGUGUAAGAAUUUUUUGCAUUGUUCACUGCACUUUUAUUUAAACGUGUGAUUUGCAUCAUGUGUGUGUGCUCGAGGCGGUGGGUCCCUGUCCCUUGAUGCCCUUUUCUCCUUCGCGCAGGCCUGGUUAACCUGGAAUUAUAACUGGUGGGUUAUAUUUUAAUAUUUGAACUGACAUUUACCCAUUUUAAAUUGAAUGUUUAUUUUUAAAUGAUUGUGAAUAAAGUAGGAAAAUCCUGAUCUAUUUUAGUGAAAUUUUAUUAAUGAUAAUCAAUAAAAUUGUUGAACUUGAAGGUCACGUCUCUGUUCUUGUAUUUAUUGAUUAUUGAACUUGAGGUUCUGUGUCUAACGA